AAGAAGAAGAAGAAGAAGAUUCGAUAAAAGUUGGGAAUGAUCGAGAAAUCAAAAUAGGAUUUCAACGAUAUGGAAAUGUUAAAAGAAAACAAGAAAGAAAGAGAGAGAGGAGAGUGAAAAGAGAGAGAGAAAAGGGGCAGGAAGGAUUUUGUAUUAUCUUUGAAGAAAAUUAUAAAA
rnacentral:lncRNA from 1 species